CCUACGGGUGGCAGCAGUGAGGAAUAUUGGUCAAUGGGCGAGAGCCUGAACCAGCCAAGUCGCGUGAGGGAGUACUGCCCUAUGGGUUGUAAACCUCUUUUGUCGGGGAGCAAAAGCCGGACGUGUCCGGCUGUGAGAGUACCCGAAGAAAAAGCAUCGGCUAACGCCGUGCCAGCAGCCGCGGUAAUACGGAGGAUGCGAGCGUUAUCCGGAUUUAUUGGGUUUAAAGGGUGCGCAGGCGGAUUUUUAAGUCAGCGGUAAAAUCGUGGGGCUCAACCCCAUCCAGCCGUUGAAACUGGGGAUCUAGAGUGUGCGAGAGGUAUGCGGAAUGCGUGGUGUAGCGGUGAAAUGCAUAGAUAUCACGCAGAACCCCGAUUGCGAAGGCAGCAUACCGGUGCACAACUGACGCUCAGGCACGAAAGCGUGGGUAUCGAACAGGAUUAGAUACCCUAGUAGUC
rnacentral:rRNA from 1 species